AAGUCGUAACAAGGUUUCCGUAGGUGAACCUGCGGAAGGAUCAUUAAUGAAACUUGAAUUCGUACUAUUGAGAACUGUUGCUGACCUGUUAAAGGGUAUGUGCACGUUCAAAGUCUUACGCGUUCUGUUCUAAUCCACCUGUGCACCUUUGUAGACUUGGUUAAGCUUUGCUUUCGGGUUGCUUGCUUUCGAGCUAAGCUUCCUUUGUUGUUUAUCUUACCAAGUCUAUGUCUAUAAACUUUUGUAUGUUUAGAAUGUCUUGUUUAUCGGACGCAAGUCCUUUAAAUGUUAUACAACUUUCAACAACGGAUCUCUUGGCCCUC
rnacentral:misc_RNA from 1 species